rnacentral:rRNA from 1 species
GAUGAACGCUGGCGGCGUGCCUAAUACAUGCAAGUCGAGCGAAUGGAUUAAGAGCUUGCUCUUAUGAAGUUAGCGGCGGACGGGUGAGUAACACGUGGGUAACCUGCCCAUAAGACUGGGAUAACUCCGGGAAACCGGGGCUAAUACCGGAUAACAUUUUGAACCGCAUGGUUCGAAAUUGAAAGGCGGCUUCGGCUGUCACUUAUGGAUGGACCCGCGUCGCAUUAGCUAGUUGGUGAGGUAACGGCUCACCAAGGCAACGAUGCGUAGCCGACCUGUGAGGGUGAUCGGCCACACUGGGACUGAGACACGGCCAAGACUCCUACGGGAGGUAGCAGUAGGGAAUCUUCCGCAAUGGACGAAAGUCUGACGGAGCAACGCCGCGUGAGUGAUGAAGGCUUUCGGGUCGUAAAACUCUGUUGUUAGGGAAGAACAAGUGCUAGUUGAAUAAGCUGGCACCUUGACGGUACCUAACCAGAAAGCCACGGCUAACUACGUGCCAGCCGCCGCGGUAA